AUUGAACGCUGGCGGCAUGCCUUACACAUGCAAGUCGAACGGUAACGGGCCUUCGGGUGCCGACGAGUGGCGAACGGGUGAGUAAUGCAUCGGAACGUACCUUUCAGUGGGGGAUAACGUAGCGAAAGUUACGCUAAUACCGCAUAUUCUGUGAGCAGGAAAGCAGGGGAUCGCAAGACCUUGCGCUGAUUGAGCGGCCGAUGUCAGAUUAGCUAGUUGGUGAGGUAAAGGCUCACCAAGGCGACGAUCUGUAGCGGGUCUGAGAGGAUGAUCCGCCACACUGGAACUGAGACACGGUCCAGACUCCUACGGGAGGCAGCAGUGGGGAAUUUUGGACAAUGGGGGCAACCCUGAUCCAGCCAUGCCGCGUGAGUGAAGAAGGCCUUCGGGUUGUAAAGCUCUUUCGGUCCGGGAAGAAAUCGCAUGGGCUAAUACCCUGUGCGGAUGACGGUACCGGCAUAAGAAGCACCGGCUAACUACGUGCCAGCAGCCGG
rnacentral:rRNA from 1 species